CAGCAGCAGCAGCGGACGGGGAAGUGGAGCAGGCUGCCGAACAAACAGUCCGCCCAUCGGUCAUAAUCCAGUGGCCCGGUGUGGAUGACACGAGGGGGAGGGAGUGUCUCCACGAUGAAGCUACUGUAACUGGGAGGCUGUUCCACUGAAGAGACAACUCGACGUCCCACAGUAUCCACAGCCCUUUUGUCAUACCGUUGUACGAGCCAGUAGAGGGUGUCCAAGGCUUGACUCCUGUUUCUACCUUUGGGAAAAUGCCAAUUUCAGCGUUUCAACUGGUGCAGGAUUGACAGUGAAGGAACAGGAACUGCACUGAGACUGACAGCGCACACUUUCUCCUCCUUCCUCCUCUUACCCACUCUGCUGUCCUCUUCCACUCCAUUCUGUUCUUGUCUCCUCCUCCUCAUCCUCCUCCUGUUUAUUCCCAUUAAUUGCCUGCAUGUCUCCCCUCUAAGCCCUCCCUUCUUUGCCUCUUGCAUUUUCCCUCUCAUCCUCCUUGUCACCCCCAUAGAUAAGGUCAUUGUAAAGUAAAGUUUACAAACGAUACCACUGUCUGUGGUUGGGAAUCCACCUUUGUAAACCUUUGAAAUUAAUCUUAGAUAAGGUCAUUGUAAAGUAAAGUUUACAAACGAUACCACUGUCUGUGGUUGGGAAUCCACCUUUGUAAACCUUUGAAAUUAAUCUUAGAUAAGGUCAUUGUAAAGUAAAGUUUACAAACGAUACCACUGUCUGUGGUUGGGAAUCCACCUUUGUAAACCUUUGAAAUUAAUCUCUGACCCUAAUUUGAGCCCUUACUAACAAUUCAGAAUGAAUGUGACCUUAGCGAAGAUGCUCUAACUAUCGAAAGUCCCAGGAGUGUUCAGGCUACACCGAUGACACGAACCUCGUCUGUGCUUUCCAAAACUAGUUAUAUGGUUAAAUGGUUUGAAAUAAUAGGGGAUUUAUAGUGAAGCUGUUUCUGUCAGUUUUCAGAAUUUUGUACACAGGUGUACAGCACCGAGACAAUGACGCUGUCAAUCUUUUUAAUUUCUGUAAACGACAUUUUCAAGUUCUAAUACUAUUGUACUAAUUUCGUAGCAGAAGCUUAUUUUAUUUGUUUGUCUAUGUGUUAGAUGUUUAGUUACACUAUACUACUUUUUCUUGAUUGGAAUUAAAGGUAGUGUGUUUACCUGCCUGGUAAAAAGGGGAAAACAGUUCAUAUAAAGUUAUAUUACAUACCCUUGAAAUGGUUUAAGUUCAAGAAUACUCAACAGCUGCAUCAGAUCCAAUUUUGUGUACAUUUUUUACAAUACACAUUUUUUGCACAUUUCACAAUACAAUCAUUCCAUGGAGAGUUGAGCGUCUUAGCUUUAUGGAUAGUUCUGCAUAAUUU